rnacentral:rRNA from 1 species
UACGUAGGGUGCGAGCGUUGUCCGGAAUUACUGGGCGUAAAGAGCUCGUAGGUGGUUUGUCGCGUUGUUCGUGAAAUCUCACAGCUCAACUGUGGGCGUGCGGGCGAUACGGGCAGACUGGAGUACUGCAGGGGAGACUGGAAUUCCUGGUGUAGCGGUGGAAUGCGCAGAUAUCAGGAGGAACACCGGUGGCGAAGGCGGGUCUCUGGGCAGUAACUGACGCUGAGGAGCGAAAGCGUGGGGAGCGAACAGGAUUAGAUACCCCCGUA